GCACCCAAAGUGGUGCUCAUGUUGAUAUACUGGGGAACUUCGCACUAAUAGAGGACAUUAUAAGGGUAGCAGCAGGAGCUACAGGAGAGGACUUGGGAGGAGACCAAAUUCACUCCGAUAUUUUGAAAUGGUCUGAAAAGAUCAGCUUGCAUCUAUAGUUCAUAAGAAAUCAUGCCUACUUCCCCCCUUGCACUUGAGACACUUCUAACAGACUAUGAAUGCAGCAAAUAUUGGUGAAUUGUGGAC
rnacentral:misc_RNA from 1 species